AAACUGCAUCGGUUAAUGUGUUUUUUUAAUUAUUCAAAACGAUAUAUCGUGUCGUGAUCGUGAUGCUAACUGUUUAGCAUUAUAUGUACUAGUGUGUAGCAGUGAGGGAGAAGCUGACGCCCCGUGUCUCAGCUGUUUAUGUCCUUUUCUUACAGUUGAACAUGCCAUCACUGUGUUUACUGCCCUGCCACUGCUCUUCCCAUCUGGCUCUGCAGCGCCCAAGAAACUGGUCCCAAUCAGUGAGGCUUUUUUCCACGUUCUUACGCUGAUGGACAUGAACACACUUGAGGCCACAUCCUCCCUGGCACAAGUCCUUUUGGGCUUCACAAUGUUGGGUGAUGACAUCAGCUACACCGCCAAGGAGGAGAA